rnacentral:rRNA from 1 species
CAAUAAGCGGAGGAAAAGAAACCAACAGGGAUUGCCCCAGUAACGGCGAGUGAAGCGGCACCAGCUCAAAUUUGAAAUCCGGCCCUCCCCCGCGGGGGGGUCUGAGUUGUAAUUUGGAGAGGACGCUUCUGGCGCGGCGCCGUCCGAGUUCCCUGGAACGGGACGCCGGAGAGGGUGAGAGCCCCGUACGGGCGGCCGCCAAGCCUCUGCGAAGCUCCUUCGACGAGUCGAGUAGUUUGGGAAUGCUGCUCUAAACGGGAGGUAAAUUUCUUCCAAAGCUAAAUACUGGCCAGAGACCGAUAGCGCACAAGUAGAGUGAUCGAAAGAUGAAAAGCACUUUGAAAAGAGAGUCAAACAGUACGUGAAAUUGUUGAAAGGGAAGCGCCUGUGGCCAGACUUGCGCCCCGCGGACCACCCGGCGCCCCGGCGCCGGGGCACUCUGCGGGGUGCAGGCCAGCAUCGGCUCCCCUGGGGCCACAAAGGCCGCGGGAACGUAGCGCCCUCGCGGCGUGUUACAGCCCGCGGCGGCAUGCCCCCGGGGGGGCCGAGG